rnacentral:tRNA from 1 species
GCUUGCGUGGCGGAAUAGGUAGACGCACAGCACUCAAAAUGCUGCGGUUUUACGACCAUGAGGGUUCGAUUCCCUCCGCAAGCACCA